GGAGGGUGAGGGGGGUGAAGUCGUAACAAGGUAGCCGUACGGGAACGUGCGGCUGGAUCACCUCCUUUCUAGGGAGA
rnacentral:rRNA from 1 species